rnacentral:rRNA from 1 species
CCUACGGGAGACAGCAGUGGGGAAUAUUGCACAAUGGGGGAAACCCUGAUGCAGCGACGCCGCGUGAGUGAAGAAGUAUUUCGGUAUGUAAAGCUCUAUCAGCAGGGAAGAAGAAAGACGGUACCUGACUAAGAAGCCCCGGCUAACUACGUGCCAGCAGCCGCGGGAAUACGUAGGGGGCAAGCGUUAUCCGGAUUUACUGGGUGUAAAGGGAGCGUAGACGGCUGUGCAAGUCUGAAGUGAAAGCCCAGGGCUCAACCCUGGGACUGCUUUGGAAACUGUGGAGCUAGAGUGCUGGAGAGGUAAGUGGAAGUCCUAGUGUAGCGGUGAAAUGCGUAGAUAUUAGGAGGAACACCAGUGGCGAAGGCGGCUUACUGGACAGUAACUGACGUUGAGGCUCGAAAGCGUGGGGAGCAAACAGGAUUAGAUACCCUGGUAGUC